CCUCUCCUUUUUAUCCUGUUUUUGUUAGCGGUUCCAAAUUUGUUAUAUUUCU
rnacentral:tRNA from 1 species